CAGCCCCCACCCCGGAUAACAGCAGCCCCAGCGGAACCUGUGGACACUUCCACAUGGAGUUGCUGUUACAGGGGGGAGGGGCCA
rnacentral:pre_miRNA from 1 species